GAUGAAGAACGUAGCGAAAUGCGAUAAGUAGUGUGAAUUGCAGAAUUCAGUGAAUCAUCGAAUCUUUGAACGCACAUUGCGCCUCCUGGUAUUCCGGGAGGCAUGCCUGUUCGAGCGUCAUCAAAAACCUCAACCCAUGAUUUAUUGUGAGUUGGUUCUGCAUUGGACUCCUUGUGGGUCCUUUGCGAAAUCCAAUGGCGAAGAGCCACGCAACCAAAGCGUAGUAUAACUAUUUCGUUAUGGAAGCGUGGGUGCCUCUGCCGUAACCCCCAAUUUCUUAGUUUUUGACCUCGGAUCAGGUAGGGAUACCCGCUGAACUUAAGCAAAUCAAUAAGCGGAGGA
rnacentral:misc_RNA from 1 species